GGCCGGGCCCGGUGCACGGGUGUGGGCGUGAACCUGGUCAGGGCUUGACCGCAGCAGCCAUAAGCGUUCCGUGCCCGGUGCCGUCGGUGUCCUGGCCGCC
rnacentral:SRP_RNA from 1 species